rnacentral:lncRNA from 1 species
UCUUAGUUCCAGCGGAAGUGGAUCUGACGUGGGCGAUCAGCACCUUCCUUUACCAAUGGCUUAUGGAACUCACGUCCAGCACGAGAGUGGAUAUUUGCCCAACAAAACUCACAGUAAUACUGCAGAAUAUGUACAGACAAAAACAAGUAUGCUAAUGAAAUUUCUUCAAAUACUACAAACAAUUAGUGAAGACUGCUACUAUAGGCUGCUGCUGUAUUUUUAAGAGGCUCAACUUCAAAUACUUCAACCUUUUAUGGAAAGAUGGAAACACACAACAAACUAUGUGUAAGUACUCUUAGGGUACUUAGAGGAGACAAUGACACUGCUUUUAAGUCCAGUUGAAAGGUCACAUACUACCUCCACUGCCUUAGACUAAUGCCUAAGACCCUUUGCUCAAAGAAACCAAGAGGCUUGUAUUCUAAAAAUAGAGGCAAGGGGGGUGGGGCAGCAUGGAGGAAAAGAAAUGGCCAAAACAGAUCAGAGAAAGUGUUAAAAGCUGGCUGGAAAGGCCUUAAAUGACCCAGUUCAAGGUCCCCCUUUUACAGAUAAGGAAACUGUGACCCAAAGAGAUGAAAACCUAUAAACUAUGUCAUUCAAUGUCAUAAAGAUUAUGAGGAAGAGGAAGAAGAUCCAAGUUUCAGGCCUUCUUUCCUUCCAGUUCCAUUCACUUUCCAUUAUCUCUUUUUUCCCCCACCACUGUGUUUUACUUCAUCACAUCACACCUCUGGCUCAAAAGUCCAAAGGGAAUGCCAAUAUCUCAGCAGUUUACCAGAUAAGUUUAUCUUUAAGCACCAAAAUCAUUUUUCCUAAAAUAAAUUUCCCUAAAAUCUUAGGUUAUAAUACAGGUAAAAGCAGAAUAGCUUUGAUUGAAGUCUAAGUGGGAGGGCAGCCCCGGAGGCUGGUGUGAAAGCUUCCCUUUCAUUAUCACCCCUAUCUCCUCUCUAGCAUCCCUCCAACUGAAAUCAACUCAAUAAUCUGAUUUCUCAACAUCUGUCCCUGCCUCAUGGACCAUGUAUGCCAGCUAAUUUGUAUUCUUUUCCAUGGAUACUUAUUUCUCCUAUAUAUGUAUCCUAUAUAUGUAUCCAUCCUAUUGCUUCUUUCUGCACAGAGUAAUUAUGUCCUCUUCUAUUUGAAAACAUUUCUCUUGCCACCUUCAAAAUAAUUACAUUAAUUUUCUUCUCCUAAACAUACCAUCUCCUAGGCAUUCAUGUAUUGAAUUUAAAUACAAAAAUGCUACCAUAAAAACGUCACUAAUAAGGCUUAACUGGACCAGACUAGAGAAGAGAGUAGAGGUAAAUAGCUAACUUAUAUUAACAAGACAAUACGUUGCAAAUUGCAUGAAGUAACUACCAUUUCUAGGUGAAGACCCUGGCAGGACUACUUUGGAAAACAGGCAGGACUUGGCUAAAACAAUUGUUAGUGGUUGAUUAUCAAAAUUAAUGCUAACCUUCUAGAUUAGAAUGUUACUUACAAACGUAUUAUUAAUCUGUUUAUGUCCUUACUUGUAAAAUCAUCUCAUGUUGAUAAAUUAACCAAGGAAGAGACUUAGAAUAACAUAGCUCCAUUCAUAUAACACACACAACGUUAAGUCUAUGCUCAUUCAAACUUGAGCUCUGUAAGAAAGAACCUGCAUAUAUAAGGACUGAGUUUUCUAUAACCUAUAAUAAUCCUCACCACCUGGUACCUAGUAUACAUUCAAAUUCAGUUUGCAGGAAGAAAGAUAGCAUUUUGUAACCACCAAAGGUGUAAAUGUAAUUUGAUUAAGGCUAACUCCCAGCUUUUUGACUAACGGUUUCUCCAUAGGAAACUGAUUAUUUGGAAUAAGUCAGGGUAUAAAAGCAGUAACAAAAUUUAGAAUACUAGGCUAUAUAUUUUUUAAUAAAGGUGAAAAAACUGAACCAAGAGAAGUCUUUUU